rnacentral:rRNA from 1 species
UAACCUGCCCAAGAGAUCGGGAUAACACCUGGAAACAGAUGCUAAUACCGGAUAACAACAGAUGAUGCCUAUCAACUGUUUAAAAGAUGGUUCUGCUAUCACUCUUGGAUGGACCUGCGGUGCAUUAGCUAGUUGGUAGGGUAACGGCCUGCCAAGGCGAUGAUGCAUAGCCGAGUUGAGAGACUGAUCGGCCACAUUGGGACUGAGACACGGCCCAAACUCCUACGGGAGGCAGCAGGA